GCUUGCCCGCCCGCAGCCUCCUGGUAAGUAGGGCAGGUGCACAGGCCCGGGAGGUCCCCUGCCGUCCUCCCGCCCAGGGCUGCUGGGGCUCCACCGCGAGCGCCGGGCGGCGCCGAGGAGCGGCGACAGCCCGCUGACCGCGGACAGGUGUCCCCGGAGGCGCGCGCUCUGCGGGAAGGCGGCGGACCGGGAGGUGGGCGCGGGGCCCCGGCCCUGGGCGCAGCCGGGAGCUUGUCAUCGACGAGAGAGGCUCUGAAGAGUGUCUGGGCCGAACUGCGGGCAGGCAGAGGGUGGAGCCAGACCCGGGGGUGUCAGAGCGGGAAGAGCCCGCGAGAUCAUCCACGUGGGGAACCCUCGGGCCGGGGAUAGGAAGGGAUAAAUGAUCCCGAAACCUUGGAACCUCUCCACCGGAGCAGCCAACAACCGGCAGCGAGCAGUGCUCCUACGCCGAGUCCGAAUUCCGGUUUAAACCCCGUCUGCUCACUCACCAGAUGUCGACCUUGGUAGCGUUCCCGGAAGCCAGCUUACCACCAGCCAGCCUGCCCUAGGCCAUACAGAGUACAAGGAAGCCAAGGACUCUGCCCUCACACUGCUGUCAGACAGACAGACGCCCACUCGUUACAGAGAAUAAUGCGGGCCAAGUCUGUCCUGGCUGCUUGACCUUGCUGCGGGGCGGCCUCAGACAGCCCCUGGGACAGAGCCUGGAGUCCUCUACUGGCUGGGAAAGGGAAGGGAAGUGAGUUUCAGACAGAGGACAGCUCAAGCAACCGAGGGAAGCACAUGUACUUAGUGACCUUACACCUGCUAACAAGCUGAAGACACCAGCAGCUCGUUUUAGAGCACUGAUGUCUCCCCUCAGCGCUGCUCCCUGGCAUUCCACGGACACCUCACCCUCAACAUGGCCAAAAUGGAAUUCCUCGUCUGCCGCAAGACCACUCCAGCUUUAUCUCAUCCGGUGGCACCACCAUUCACCUGGUGAUCCAGAAAACUGGCAGUCCGCAUCGGUUCUGGCCAAUCCUGAACUCCUAUGAUUAACACAGUCCUCCUGUUACUUCCCAAAUAUCUCUCAAGUCUGUCUCCCUAUCUGUACAAUUGCUGUCUCAGUUCAGGUCUCUACUAUCUACCAUGUGCCAGCCUCCUCCCCUGUCUCCCUGCCUCUGACCUCACCUGCUCUAGAAGACCUUAACUGGCCACCCUCCUGUGCCUCCUCCACCCUCUCUAUCAAGUACCCUGCUUUGCUUUCUUCAUAGUACUUUACUUAUACUGUCCAAAAUCAUCUUGUUUACACAUCUGCUUCCUGUUCUGUGUCCCUCUCUCCAUUAUGACAUAAGCUCCCUGAGGUCAGGAACCUUAUCUAUCUUGUUUACCAUUCUAUUUCCAUCACCUAGACUAACACCUGUAUGGAGCAGGUACUCGAGAAACAUUUGUUCACAGAAUGAACGCUCUAGACCAUCAUUGCCUGACGGAAAUAUAAUGCAAGCCACAAAUGUGAACCGCAUGUGUAGUUUUAAAUUUUCUAGUAACCACAUUAGAAAAGUAAAAAGACAGAGGUGAAAUUAAUUUUAAUAAUAUAUUUUAUUUAACAUUAUAUGUCCAAAAGAUGAUCAUUUCAAUGGUCAUCAAUGUCAAAGGUGUUAAUGGGAAACUUUACAUUCUUUUUUUUUUUUUUAAUACCAAGGCUUUGCAAUUUUGUGUGUAUUUUACAGUAUAACUCAUUUCAGGCUAGUCACAUUUCAAGUGCUUAAUAGCUACCUGUGGCCAGUGGCAUCUGUAUUGGACUUCACAGUUCUAUAUGUAUUCCUCCUAUCUUAUCAAGCUGGCUUCGGUUAUGCUCUCUGCUACUUUAGGAAUGGGUGUGACAAUUAAAUCACUAACAAGAGGACUCAAACAUCCUCAGAGAGUCUACCAUGUUUCCAGCAUUGUUCUAAGAAGUGGUCACACAAAGAUGAAUCACAAACACAUUUCGCCCCAAAAGACCACAGUCUAGCGUGGGAAAAACACAUGUAAACAAUUAGCAUGCAAGGUGAUAAAAGAUUUAUGUACAAAUUGCUGUAGGAAUCACCAAUCUUGUCUGAAGGAGUCAAGAAAAGCUUCAGAGAGGAGUUGAGGCUUUAGACCAGCCUUGCAGAACGAGUAGAAGCUGGAUAAGCAGGCAAGGACUAGUGGGAUUUUCCAGAAAAUGGAAAUAACACAUGUGAAAGCCAGAAAUGUAAGAGAGAGCAUGUCAGUCAAUGAACUUCAAGCUGUUUGCUCUGGUUGGAAACACUCGUGCAUGAGGGGGGCUGGCUGGAAGUGGCAAUGGAGAGGUGAUCGGGGAUUCAGUCUCAGAAAACCUCAAGGGCAGGGAGCAUUUAAGAUUUAUGAGUAGGAGGAGAGGCUGACUUAAUCAGAGUCACUUUUUUGGAGCGGGGGGGCCUGUCACGAGGCUUGUGGGAUCUUUGUUCCCUGACCCGGGAUUGAACCCUGGGCUGCGGCAGUGAAAGCACGGAGUCCGAACCACUGGCCUGCAGGGGAAUUUCCCAGAGUAGCAUCUUCAAAGAUCUGCUGGCAGCUGAUGUGGACCAUGGUUUAGAAAGAGGAGAGCAGUUCUCUGAAGAGUAUGGAGCCAUUUAUGGAUGAAGACACUGGGGCUCAAAGAGGACCAUCCAUCUUGCAAGCCGUGAAGGCUAAUAUUAUAGCUGUGAAAUUUGACUCCAAGCUUCCUGGAAGCAAAAAUAGACACACGGAUGUCUGUACUCUGCCCAUUCCCUGAUGAGAAAGACAGUUUUGGGUGUAUUGGUUCAAAAGAAUUGACAAAUCUGGAAUUACACGGAAGGGCCCCUGACCGUGUCUGCUUCUGCCAUGGAGGGGAAGUGAAAGCAAAACAUCAGAGAACCUGGUCGCAUAGGAAGUAGGAACUAAGGAAGAAUACUGCUGGGCAGGAACUGAGGGAGCACAGUGAGGCUGUUCUGGAAGAGUGUAGAAGUCAGCCCUGUGUUCACUCGUUAGUACCCAGCCCCAGUGGCGUCUUCCGCUUUCACAUGCUUCAGUUUUCCACUAUUUUUCUUCCUUCCUUUUUUCUUUCUUUUUUUUCCUUAUUGAUGUAUAGUUGAUUUACAACAUUGUGUUACUUUCAGGUGUACAGCAUAGUGAUUCAGUAAUUUUUGCAGAUUCUUUUCCAUUACAGGUUAUUACAAGAUACCGGGUACAGUUCCCUGUGCUAUUCACCACCAUACUGUAAGGAGGCCCAAGCAGCCAUGUGGAAAGGACAACACGGAGAAGAACCAAGGCCCCUGGCUGACAGCCCAAGCUGAGAUCCCAGCCAGCAGCCAGCACCAAGCAUGGAAGAAGGAUCACACUGUCAGGCAGCCUUUGGAAAACCUCACUGUACACU